rnacentral:rRNA from 1 species
GUGGGGAAUAUUGCACAAUGGGCGAAAGCCUGAUGCAGCAACGCCGCGUGAGGGACGACGGCCUUCGGGUUGUAAACCUCUUUUAGUAGGGAAGAAGCGAAAGUGACGGUACCUGCAGAAAAAGCACCGGCUAACUACGUGCCAGCAGCCGCGGUAAUACGUAGGGUGCAAGCGUUAUCCGGAAUUAUUGGGCGUAAAGAGCUCGUAGGCGGUCUGUCGCGUCUGCUGUGAAAACUGGAGGCUCAACCUCCAGCCUGCAGUGGGUACGGGCAGACUAGAGGGCGGUAGGGGAGAUUGGAAUUCCUGGUGUAGCGGUGGAAUGCGCAGAUAUCAGGAGGAACACCGAUGGCGAAGGCAGAUCUCUGGGCCGUAACUGACGCUGAGGAGCGAAAGCGUGGGGAGCGAACAGGAUUAGAAACCCGGGUAGUCC